rnacentral:rRNA from 1 species
AACCAUCGUUAAGGAACUCGGCAAAAUCGCUCCGUAACUUCGGGAUAAGGAGCGCCCCAGUAGAGUGAAGCCGCUUGCCGGCGGAGCUCGAGAGGGCCGCAGUGAAUAGGUUCAACCGACUGUUUACCAAAAACACAGGUCUCUGCUAAGUCGCAAGACGACGUAUAGGGGCUGACGCCUGCCCGGUGCCGGAAGGUUACGUGGAGGUGUUAGGGCUCGACCCAAAGCACUGAAACUAAGCCCCGGUAAACGGCGGCGGUAACAAUAACCGUCCUAAGGUAGCGAAAUUCCUUGUCGGGUAAGUUCCGACCUGCACGAAUGGCAUAACGAGUUGAACGCUGUCUCAACGAUGGGCUCGGUGAAAUUGCAGUCUCGGUGAAGAUGCCGAGUACCCGCGGCAAGACGGAAAGACCCCGUGAACCUUUACUACAACCUGGUAUUGGAGUUCGGUGCGUUUCGCUCAGAAUAGGUGGGAGGCUUGGAAGCCAUGGCUGCGGCUGUGGUGGAGCCAACUUUGAGAUACCACCCUUGACGUAUUGGGCUUCUAACAGCAUGCCGUGAAUCCGGGUGCUGAACAGUGCCAGGCGGGUAGUUUGACUGGGGCGGUCGCCUCCCAAAAUGUAACGGAGGCGCACAAAGGUUCCCUCAGUACGGUUGGAAACCGUGCGUAGAGUGUAAAGGCAGUAAGGGAGCUUGACUGCGAGACAGACAUGUCGAGCAGGUGCGAAAGCAGGUCUUAGUGAUCCGGCGGUAGCAAGUGGAAGUGCCGUCGCUCAACGGAUAAAAGGUACUCCGGGGAUAACAGGCUUAUCGAGUCCAAGAGUCCACAUCGACGACUCGGUUUGGCACCUCGAUGUCGGCUCGUCGCAUCCUGGGGCUGAAGUAGGUCCCAAGGGUUGGGCUGUUCGCCCAUUAAAGCGGUACGCGAGCUGGGUUCAGAACGUCGUGAGACAGUUCGGUCCCUAUCUGCCGUGGGCGUUGGAGAGUUGAGAGGAUUCGUCCCUAGUACGAGAGGACCGGGAUGAACGCACCUCUGGUGUAUCUGUUGUCCUGCCAAGGGCACUGCAGGUUAGCUACGUGCGGAUCGGAUAACCGCUGAAGGCAUCUAAGCGGGAAGCCGGCCUCGAGAUGAGCUCUCCCAUCGUCUAGAACGAGUAAGACCCCUGGUAGACCACCAGGUUGAUAGGCCGGAUCUGGAAGAGUGGUGACACUCGCAGGAGACCGGUACUAAUGGGUCGAGGGCUUGACGGG